GACGAACGCUGGCGGCGUGCUUAACACAUGCAAGUCGAACGGAAAGGCCCUGCUUUUGUGGGGUGCUCGAGUGGCGAACGGGUGAGUAACACGUGAGUAGCCUGCCCUUGACUUUGGGAUAACUUCAGGAAACUGGGGCUAAUACCGGAUAGGAGCUCCUGCUGCAUGGUGGGGGUUGGAAAGUUUCGGCGGUUGGGGAUGGACUCGCGGCUUAUCAGCUUGUUGGUGGGGUAGUGGCUUACCAAGGCUUUGACGGGUAGCCGGCCUGAGAGGGUGACCGGCCACAUGGGGACUGAGAUACGGCCCAGACUCCUGCGGGAGGCAGCAGUGGGGAAUAUUGCACGAUGGGCGGAAGCCGGAUGCAGCAACGCCGCGUGCGGGAUGACGGCCUUCGGGUGGUAGACCGCUUUCGCCUGUGACGAAGCGUGAGUGACGGUAAUGGGUAAAGAAGCACCGGCUAACUACGUG
rnacentral:rRNA from 1 species